rnacentral:rRNA from 1 species
ACGAACGCUGGCGGCGUGCCUAAUACAUGCAAGUCGAGCGGAAUGAUGAAGAAGCUUGCUUCUUCUGAUUUUAGCGGCGGACGGGUGAGUAACACGUGGGCAACCUACCUUGUAGAUUGGGAUAACUCCGGGAAACCGGGGCUAAUACCGAAUAAUCCAUUUUGCUUCAUGGCGAGAUGUUGAAAGACGGUUUCGGCUGUCACUACAAGAUGGGCCCGCGGCGCAUUAGCUAGUUGGUAGGGUAAUGGCCUACCAAGGCGACGAUGCGUAGCCGACCUGAGAGGGUGAUCGGCCACAUUGGGACUGAGACACGGCCCAGACUCCUACGGGAGGCAGCAGUAGGGAAUCUUCCACAAUGGACGAAAGUCUGAUGGAGCAACGCCGCGUGAGUGAAGAAGGUUUUCGGAUCGUAAAACUCUGUUGUAAGGGAAGAACACGUACGAGAGUAACUGCUCGUACCUUGACGGUACCUUAUUAGAAAGCCACGGCUAACUACGUG